GAGGGCGACACCGAUAUUGAGGACUUUUAUCCACUACUAGAUGAUACACCUGUUAUUCCUAUUGAAGAUAGCACACUUGAUUCUUGCAAUCCAUCAAAGAAGAGAGCAGAAGCAUGGCAGAAGAAGAAACUGAGGAAGGAUGCUAUUCUCGGUUCACAAGCAAAGUUGCGAGAUGUAACCAACACUCAAGCAUGUGAACUUUCAGAUCCAGGAAGUGAGGAUAUUGGAAUGGAUAUAAUAUCAAGCGAUGAUGAUGGCUUUGAACCUGCAAUAUCCGUUGCACCAAAAUGCAAGAAGAGUAGAGCACAACCACUUCCAACUAGAGUGUGGUAUGAUGAGGGCAGGUUGCUUGGAGGUGAACAACUCUGUUUGCAUAUGUGUUUUGUGAACAUGCAUCAAUACAGAAGAGCCUUGAAGAAUUAUCAUAUACUUCAAAGUAGAGACUAUAUGUAUCUUAGAAAUGAUAGAGAUCGGGUCAAUGUUUGUUGUGUGACUGAACUUUGCCAAUUCUAUAUGACCUGUUCAUGUUCAUGCUGAAGCUGAAGCAGAUACUUCAACUGGUGCAGCCAAAGGCAGAGGGGGAGGAAGAGCACAAGUAAAUGGAAGCGGAAGAGGCCGUGGAAAAGGCAGAGGCAGAGGACAAGCUGAAGCUGCAAUUCAAGAUCCUUUUCAUGCGCAUGCGGUCUUCGAAGCACAUGAUCCUUUUCAUGGGUUUGACAUACAAGAAGUUGCUUCACAACCAGCUGCAGCUAAUACUAGAGAGAAGCUGCCAGUAAUGAGGGGUUCAGGUUCAACAGGGGGCAGAUUCAUGGAGUACUUCACUGCCAGUGGCAACCACUGAAGAAAAUCCUAUGUCGAAGGCUUCUUUUGUGAAUGAAAAGUUUACAUCUGUAUGAAAACUGACUUGUAAAUGCCAGAUACACAACAUGAUGCAUCGCUGGAUUACACUGAAGAAAAUCUGUAGCUAUUUGCUGUUGAACUCUGAAAAAAGAAAGGACAAAGGAAGCAGCCUAAACUCGUUGGGGAGGAGCUCUGUACAGGAUGGCCGACGGCGUCGACGAUGCCGCUGGGUGGACGAGCCAACGCUGACACCAAGGAAGAGGUGCUGGUGGAGGAGACGACGUCGGGAUGGACGAACCAGCGAGCUGCCAGCGACGAGCUAGCCGUCGACUCUGGCUUGGGAGGAGACGGCAUGCACGCAGAUGCAGGUGGCUGUUAGUACGGGCAUUAGUUAGAGGAUUUGGACUGUGUGUGCUGGAUUUGGGACGUGUGUUACUAGUUAGCCCAAAGGUUGUGGUUUUGUGAAAACUUCUCCAAAAGGUGGGGUAAAGUGUUAUAAGCGCCCCUGAAGUUGAUGUUCUGUGCAAUUCACUC